CUUGCUGUGACUUUGUGACCAAAUACUUAAUGUUCUCAUAUCAUUAGUGCGCUCUGGCACUUUAUCAAAUCUGUAAUAUUGACUAACUACCAGUAAUUGCUGAUUUAUGGGCAAAGUUUUCUCAGUCUUGUUUUCUUCAGGACUCUAACAGACCUUCAUCUUCUGAAAACACGUUGAAUCAACACCAUACCAGAAACCUGGGAGCCAUCAUAAAUUCUUCUCCAUGUAUCCAACUCAUCACCAAGUCUUGGUAAUUUUGCCUCCUCAAUCCAGUCUUACUUCUUCAUCUCAGAUGCUUCUGCCCUAAUUCAAGCCCAGCUGCUCAAUGCCUGCUCCUCACACACUGGAGUGACCUUUUAAAAAUGUAAGUCACUCCACUCUUAAAGCCUUUCCUCAGCAUCCCUUCCCAUUUAGAACAAAAUCUAAACUCAUUCCUGUGGCCUAUAUGAUCAUUCCCUGUCCAUGUAAGUCUCCCACCCUCUCCUAGCACACUCCCUGGCUCACUCUGCUCCAGCCACACCAGCCUCCUUGCUCUUCCAGAGCUCUCCAAGCUCUUUCCCUCUUGGCACUCUGUGCUUGCUUUCACUCUGGAAUGCCCUCCCCUCUUCUUCACAAGACUAGUUCCCUCACAAUAUCUAGCUGUCUGCUCAACAUCAUCUCCUCAGAGGGAACCUCUCUGGCCAUUCAUCUUACCUAGCCCUCAUCCCCAGGCUAAUGCUGUCAUGCUUUAUUUUUUUUUUUUCAUAUCACUUAAUAUGAACUGGCAUCAUUGCUAAAAUUAUUUACACUAGAGUGUAACUCAAUAAGGACAGGGAUUUUCUCUGCCUUUGCACUGCCAUGUCUCCAGCACCUAAAAUAGUGCUUGGGGGCAUAAAUGGCACUCAACAAACACAGGUGGAAAAAAUACAUUGAAUGAACUAUUUCAACUAAUCUUUCCACCUGAAGUUACGAACCCCUCUAAUCCCUUCUUCAUGCUGCAGUCAAUACCCUGUCUAGGGAACAAAUAUGACUAUGUGUGUAAAUCCUAACUGAGAGCUCUUUGGCAUGUGACACAAGAUUCUUUGUGAACUGGCCUCUGGCUGCCCCUCUGGGCUCACCUCCUUCCACUACUCUGGACACUUGUUCUGCUUCAGUCACUCUGAUCUACCCGCCACCUCCGACAAGGCACAUUCUUAUAUUUUCCUAACUUUAAAAUAAAUGGAACUUUACUCUGUCAGGAAUAGUCCCCCAUCUAACAUAUUCCUAUUUAUCCUUCAGAACUCAAAGCAUCACCAUCCCCUCCUCUGUGAAGCUGUUUCUUGCUCUGUCCGCGCUCAUCCCUGCUAGUUGGUCAUUCUCUUCUUUAACCGUCUAGAACUUAGAACAUUGCUUUAAUAUUUCACCUGUCACAUCGAAUUGCAACCGUGUAUUUGCAUGUCUUGAGACAAGUACGCUGAGGGCAAGGAUGUGAGUGGCAUAACUGCAACACGUGGGAUAAUAUAUGGCACAUGCUGGGGGUUCAAUAAGGGUUAUUGAAUGAAUAAAUGAGUGAGUGCACAAUAGCAAAACCACUGGGACACUGAGUGCAAUGGGCUCGUCUUCUUUUAUGUCCUGGCUCGUUUCAGCUCCCUACCUCUAGACUGACCCAGUAUGGACAUUUUAAUCAUAUUGAUUCUUUCAACACACCAGCGUGGAAUGCUUUCCCAUUUGUUUGUGCCGUCUAUGAUUUCUUUCGGCAGCGUUUCGUAGUCCUCCUUGUAGACAUCUUUCACCUCCUUGGUUAAAUGCAUUUCUUUCUUUCUUUCUUUUUUGAGACGGAGUCCCCCUCUGUUUCUCAGGCUGGAGUGCAGUGGCGCGAUCUCAGCUCACUGCAAGCUCCGCCUCCCGGGUUCACGUCAUUCUGCCUCAGCCUCCCAAGUAGCUGGGACUACAGGCGCUCACCACCACGCCCGGCUAAUUUUUUUUUUUUUUUUUUUUUUUGAGACAGAGUCUCGCUCUGUCGCCCAGGCUGGAGUGCAGUGGCGUGGUCUCGGCUCACCGCAAGCUCUGCCUCCCGGGUUCAUGCCAUUCUCCUGCCUCAGCCACCCAAGUAGCUGGGACCACAGGCGCCUGCCACCAUGCCCAGCUAAUUUUUUUGUAUUUUUAGUAGAGACGGGGUUUCACCGUAGCCAGAAUGGUCUCAAUCUCCUGACCCCGUGAUCCGCCUGCCUCAGCCUCCCAAAGUGCUGGGAUUACAGGCAUGAGCCACAGUGCCCAGCCUGUUAAAUGUAUUUCUAGAUAUUUUAUUUUUGCAUGUGUGUGGCUAUAAUAGAUAGAAUUGGAUUCUUGAUUUUGUUCUCAGCUUGAAUGUUACUGGCGUUUAGAAAUGCUACUGCUUUUUGUACACUGAUUUUUGUAUCCUGAUUUUUGUAUCCUGAAACUUCUCUGUAGUCAUUUAGUAUGAGUCUUUGGAUGGAAUCUUUAGGGUUUUCUAGGUAUAUGAUUAUAUAGUCAACAUCCCUUCAUAACAAAAAUCCUCAACAAACUAGCAUCAAAGGAGCAUACUUCAAAAUACUAAAAGCCGUCUAUGACAACCCUACAGCCAACAUCAUACUGAACGGGCAAAACUGGAAGCAUUUGCCUUAAGAACUGGAACAAGACAAGUGGUGAGGUCCACUCUCAGAACUUUCAUUCAACAUAGUACUAUAACUCCUAGCCAGAGCAAUCAGGCAAGAGAAAGAAAUAAAACACAUCCAAUUAGGAGAAGUGGAAGUCAAAUUAUCCCUCUUUGCUAUAUGCGAUUCUGUACCUAGGAAAUACAAAUUGUUUUGAUAAUCUAGACCUAUUCGACAAAAAAUUUCUUUAUCUAAAGGUCCUUAGGAUACAAUGAUUCUAUUAAAAAUUAGUGAAGUUGUUUUCUGGAACCCAUUCUACUGCUGGGCAAACUCAAUCUUAAUUUUAUCUUUUCUAAAGCAUUAGUGACGAUUAACUUCAUUAGCAUAGGUAGUUGUGACUAUAUUUUUUAUCAAAAAUGCCUUAUAAAGAGAGACAGACGUAUCCAGUGGUGCUGAGAUGAAAGAGGCAUUAACUUAUGAUUGUUCUGUGAAAACAAAUCAUUUGACAGUAAUAUGUAUUGUAAUAGUUUGGAAGGUCAUUUAAAAUAAUUCAUUCACAUUCAACUAGAGAUAGAAAAUAACCUGGAAUAUAAGGCAAGUAAGAGCUCACUUAAAAAUUCGACACAAAUAUACAGUUAGAUAUAAGAAAUAGGUUCUAGUGUUUGAUAGGAGACUACAGUGACUAUACUUAACAGCAAUAUUUUGUAUAUUUCAAAGUAACUAGAAAGGAAACUUGAAAUGACACCAACGCAUGAAAAAUGAUAAACACUCAAGGUGAUGGAUACUCCAAAUAACCUGACUUGAUCACUAAAUUCUAUGCAGGUAACAAACACCCCCAUGAACCCAUAAAUACGUAAAUGAUUAUAUAUCAACAAAACAGAAAAAACAAAGAGCA
rnacentral:lncRNA from 1 species